UACGUAGGGUCCGAGCGUUGUCCGGAAUUACUGGGCGUAAAGCGCACGUAGGCGGAUUGUUAAGUCAGGGGUGAAAUCCCGAGGCUCAACCUCGGAACUGCCUUUGAUACUGGCAAUCUCGAGUCCGGAAGAGGUGAGUGGAAUUCCUAGUGUAGAGGUGAAAUUCGUAGAUAUUGGGAAGAACACCAGUGGCGAAGGCGGCUCACUGGUCCGAUACUGACGCUGAGGUGCGAAAGCGUGGGGAGCAAACAGG
rnacentral:rRNA from 1 species